GAUAAUGGUUUUAUUUCCAGUUCAAUAGUAGGUCAAUAUUUUUCCACUUAGUUUUGGACUCUUGCUUCCAUUUAGUGUCACAGUUGCAGAAAGUGUUUUCCCUUUAAAACGUUUGUCCAAUACUUUUCUAUUAAAACUUUUAUUUGUCUGCUGAAUAAAAUAAAUAUACAGACCUGAUAACGCUGUCAGAGCAAAAACAGUCCAUCCUAAAGAAAAAGUGGUUUCAUAUUAUUAGAUAAAUAAUUUGCAAUGUUUUAUUUUAGUAUAAAAUUUGUUUGAAUGAAUAAAUUAAAACUUUAACGAUUUGAAUGAGUGAUAUAGGGACUGCCAAUGACAUUAUUUGGACAAGCUCCUUUUUUCAGAUGACUAUAUCUUAAUAUGCGUUCAAGUCUUGUCCAACAAUGACAGCUGUUCAUCUGAUAGUAACUUCUUUCCAAGUUUUCUCCCCUCCCACCCCGGGGCCCCCGGUCUCUGUCUUGCUUUGUUGUUUUAAAAUAUGCAUGUCUCUCCGGAAUGCCAGUCACGGGUCCAAACUUUGUGUGUCCCAACCUCCCACAUGAUGAAAUGAUCCUUUUAAAGCGGGCUCAAUAUGUCUCAAUCUGCACUCCUCUUCCCUCUCUAAAGCUUUCUGGGUUCGGGACACAGCCCAGAAAUAUAUUAAUUAAAGCGCACUACUACAGACUUUUUAGCACUGGGGAAGAAGUGGCUGGAUCAAGUCAAGCUCUGUCAACGACGGAUGGAUGAAGAUUCACGGCAGGAAAAGGGAAAAAAAAAGCGAUCAAUGCCGCAGUGCUCUCUCAUUCACCCUGAACUGGCGGUGAACUCCUCCGGAACGCCGCCAGCCUCUCCACCCUAUCCCAUCGCAGUUCGGGGUCACCAGAGGGGCGUCUCUGUGCCAAUAUGCAGAUGAGUCUGUGCCCCUCCAGUGACUCUGGUGUGAAGCUCCACCUCCUCUAUAUGGUGGAUCCCCCCCCACACACACACAACACUCAAAGACAUAGAGACAUAUACCCACUCUCACACUGGCUUAAAUAGGCCUUUAACAGCUUACGUCCACUCUUCCUUUAAUAGCCAAAGUGUGUCGAACCUAAUGGAUGUUGUCAAAGCUGAGAUGUGACCACUGAUUUAGAGGAGGAAGCCGAAUGACCAGGCUUCACUAGCCACUAAAGACUGAGAGAGAGAGAGAGGGAGAGAGAGAAUUACCUCAGCUAUGCUACAAAUCAAAGUAAUAUCUUUAAAAGAUGUGGGGAUCGAUGAGGUGUCAUGUGGCUGUAUCUUGUGUGUAAAGUGAUCCCAUAAACAGCCAAUGAGUACUUUAUCCUCAAUUUUAGUCCCUCACUGAAAAAGUUUUUCAACUGACAAGCAGAUUUUUUUUUAUGAGCAAUUGAUUUCAUGUAUCGCUUAAACAAGAUAUAACAGGCGAAGAGCUCUUCCAUUUAAAUCAGUUUAAUUAUAACUUGUAUCUUGUGUUUAAUUGAUCAAACUUUGCAAAUAAAGUACCCUGUGUUUUUGUGUUUGUGUGUUUUCUUGCAUUAACUGUAAAUCAAUUAAGUUGCAUGUGCUAAUUUGAACAAGAUCGUUGUAAUUGCAUUAAUUUAAUAAAGUUUAUUGUAAAUGCAAUAA